AUUUCAUAUGUCUGUGUUAGAGAGAUCCUGAAUUACUCUGACACCAGUAGGGAAGUUUCUGCAUGACCUCUUGUUGUGUCCCAAGGACCUCCUGUUAUAUCAAGACACAAGACAUGCCUUUCUGGGAUGUGCUGCUGUAAAGGAGAAAGCUGGAAGUAGCUGCAGUGGUUAUGAAUGAUUGAUGAAGGCCAGAUGGUCCAGAACAGCACUGGUGCUUCAAGCUGCUCCUGUUGUUUCUCUGCAAGUGUUUA
rnacentral:lncRNA from 1 species